GGCUGCAGGGAUUGGUGGAGCGCUCGCAUCACUUCCGUGUCUUCACUUCCACCUGCACUUUACCUGCUACGACAAGGCAAAGUGUCUGCCGUGAAAAGGAUCCGUGCGCGAGCCUCACCUGGGAACAGUAACAAGCGUGUUGUGAUGUCGGCGGGGCUAUUAAGAUUCAGGAGAGAAGGAUUUAUUCAGGAGGCGAAAAGACAAGCGAAGUACAAGACGGACAAUCGUUUGACAGGGAGGAAAACAAAGGCAGCUCAUCACACAACAUGUCAGACUGACCCACACGCCUCACUUACUGUAGGCUUCCUCACUGAAAACGCUUCUGCCAAAGAAAUAGUCCCUGCGAAAACAGCAGGAAUCAUAAAUAUCGUUGCCUGCAGCUACUCAUCUGAGAACAGAGCAGAGAAAAUGAAGGAAUCAACUCCAAAGUGGAGGAGGAUGAUGUAGCAUCGGCGGCUUGUUUGCAGACUGUCAAACAAUGAGUUCAGCAACCGAGGGUGUCACAGUCAGGUCGAGAGACAUUUUAAUCAAAUGUUGUCUCACACACACACACACACACACACACACUGAUACUGAGUCAAACAUUUGGCUAGCAGGCAUGCACCACUAAUGGCUGAGCAGAAUUUGUAAUGUCAUCCAAAUACACUGUGGGCCAAAUGUGGUCGUGCAGCGCCCUCUUCAGGACGAACAGGAGAGCUUAACAGCAGUGAUGCACUGAUCCUCAUCUCAUCAAUAUUAUCUGUUGGCUCUGAAGUAAAAGUGCCACUAGAGGUUAACACGACUGUGUAGAUUAACAGUACUAUUAUACCUUCAUGUAUGUUUAUACGUAUAGAUAUGAUGCAGAGCCC